AAGGAUCAUUACAGAAUGUCACCUAUCAUUGGUACACUCUGAUUUAUAUCCCUUUGUCUACAUACUCUGUUGCUUCCAUGGUGCCAGCUAAGUCUUUGGCUCUGGACAGGAAAGUUUUGUACUAUCUGCCUGGAAGUGCCCAUGGGUUAAUUAUAUAAAAAUCUUUUUGCUGAAGUUGUCUGAAUAUAUUUUAAAUAAAAUAAAACUUUCAACAACGGAUCUCUAGGCUCUU
rnacentral:misc_RNA from 1 species